rnacentral:tRNA from 1 species
UGUUUCAUAGAGACAAUAGGGAGACGAUAGGGAUUAGAUCAAAAUAAAAUGGUAAAAACGGGAAAGAAAUAGGGUAUGUGA